GACGAACGCUGGCGGCGUGCUUAACACAUGCAAGUCGAACGGAAAGGCCCUGCUUGCAGGGUACUCGAGUGGCGAACGGGUGAGUAACACGUGGGUGAUCUGCCCUGCACUUCGGGAUAGCCUGGGAAACUGGGUCUAAUACCGGAUAGGAGCCAUUUUUAGUGUGAUGGUUGGAAAGUUUUUUCGGUGUAGGAUGAGCUCGCGGCCUAUCAGCUUGUUGGUGGGGUAAUGGCCUACCAAGGCGGCGACGGGUAGCCGGCCUGAGAGGGUGGACGGCCACAUUGGGACUGAGAUACGGCCCAGACUCCUACGGGAGGCAGCAGUGGGGAAUAUUGCACAAUGGGCGCAAGCCUGAUGCAGCGACGCCGCGUGGGGGAUGACGGCCUUCGGGUUGUAAACUCCUUUCGCUAGGGACGAAGCUUUUUGUGACGGUACCUAGAGAAGAAGCACCGGCUAACUACGUG
rnacentral:rRNA from 1 species